rfam:TPA: Bos taurus chromosome 3, whole genome shotgun sequence.
UUCCUGGUAGCUCAGACGAUAAAGCGUCUGCCUACAAUACAGGAGACCCAGGUUCGAUCCCUGGGUCGGAAA